rnacentral:rRNA from 1 species
GCAUGGCCGUUCUUAGUUGGUGGGGCGAUUUGUCUGGUUAAAUCCUAUAACAAACGACACUCUAGCCUAUUAAAUAGGUGCGUGGUUCACCGCACCUUGCACCCUUCUUAGAGGCACAAGCGGCUCUUAGCCGCACGAAACAGAGCAAUAGCAGGUCUGUGAU